AGAGUUUGAUCNUGGCUCAGAUUGAACGCUGGCGGAAUGCUUUACACAUGCAAGUCGAACGGUAGAGGGGGCAACCCCUCGAGAGUGGCGAACGGGUGAGUAAUAUAUCGGAACGUGCCCAGUCGUGGGGGAUAACGUAGCGAAAGUUACGCUAAUACCGCAUACGAUCUACGGAUGAAAGCGGGGGAUCGCAAGACCUCGCGCGAUUGGAGCGGCCGAUAUCAGAUUAGGUAGUUGGUGGGGUAAAGGCUCACCAAGCCAACGAUCUGUAGCUGGUCUGAGAGGACGACCAGCCACACUGGAACUGAGACACGGUCCAGACUCCUACGGGAGGCAGCAGUGGGGAAUUUUGGACAAUGGACGCAAGUCUGAUCCAGCCAUUCCGCGUGCAGGAUGAAGGCCCUCGGGUUGUAAACUGCUUUUGUACGGAACGAAAAGGUUUCCAUUAAUACUGGGAGCUCAUGACGGUACCGUAAGAAUAAGCACCGGCUAACUACGUGCCAGCAGCCGCGGUAAUACGUAGGGUGCAAGCGUUAAUCGGAAUUACUGGGCGUAAAGCGUGCGCAGGCGGUUACGUAAGACAGAGGUGAAAUCCCCGGGCUCAACCUGGGAACUGCCUUUGUGACUGCAUAGCUAGAGUACGGUAGAGGGGGAUGGAAUUCCGCGUGUAGCAGUGAAAUGCGUAGAUAUGCGGAGGAACACCGAUGGCGAANGCAAUCCCCUGGNCCUGUACUGACGCUCAUGCACGAAAGCGUGGGGAGCAAACAGGAUUAGAUACCCUGGUAGUCUACGCCCUAAACGAUGUCAACUAGUUGUUGGGGAUUUACUUCCUUGGUAACGUA
rnacentral:rRNA from 1 species